rnacentral:snoRNA from 1 species
UGAGGAUGAACUUUCUAGAUGACGAGUCUGAUACUAAUAGUGAAGACAACCUUUUAUAAUACCAUUCAUGCAUAUCUGAAG